UUAAAGUGGGGGAUAGCUCGGCGAAAGCCGAAUUAAUACCGCAUGUGAUGAGGGAAGACAUCUUUCUGAAAUCAAAGCCGGGGCAACCUGGCGCUUUUUGAGGAGUCCGCGGCCUAUCAGCUUGUUGGUGAGGUAACGGCUCACCAAGGCUAUGACGGGUAGCUGGUCUGAGAGGACGACCAGUCACACUGGAACUGAGACACGGUCCAGACACCUACGGGUGGCAGCAGUCGAGAAUUUUUCUCAAUGGGGGAAACCCUGAAGGAGCGACGCCGCGUGGAGGAUGAAGGUCUUCGGGUUGUAAACUCCUGUCAUUUGAGAACAAGGUGCACAUGUUAACUGCAUGUGCAUUGAUAGUAUCAGAAGAGGAAGGGACGGCUAACUCUGUGCCAGCAGCCGCGGUAAUACAGAGGUCCCAAGCGUUGUUCGGAUUCAUUGGGCGUAAAGGGUGUGUAGGUGGCGCCGUAAGUCGGGUGUGAAAUCUCGGGGCUUAACUCCGAAACUGCAUUCGAUACUGCGGUGCUUGAGGACUGGAGAGGAGACUGGAAUUCAUGGUGUAGCAGUGAAAUGCGUAGAGAUCAUGAGGAAGACCAGUGGCGAAGGCGGGUCUCUGGACAGUUCCUGAC
rnacentral:rRNA from 1 species